rnacentral:rRNA from 1 species
AGUGGCGGACGGGUGAGGAAUACAUCGGAAUCUACUCUGUCGUGGGGGAUAACGUAGGGAAACUUACGCUAAUACCGCAUACGACCUACGGGUGAAAGCAGGGGAUCUUCGGACCUUGCGCGAUUGAAUGAGCCGAUGUCGGAUUAGCUAGUUGGCGGGGUAAAGGCCCACCAAGGCGACGAUCCGUAGCUGGUCUGAGAGGAUGAUCAGCCACACUGGAACUGAGACACGGUCCAGACUCCUACGGGAGGCAGCAGUGGGGAAUAUUGGACAAUGGGCGCAAGCCUGAUCCAGCCAUACCGCGUGGGUGAAGAAGGCCUUCGGGUUGUAAAGCCCUUUUGUUGGGAAAGAAAUCCAGCUGGCUAAUACCCGGUUGGGAUGACGGUACCCAAAGAAUAAGCACCGGCUAACUUCGUGCCAGCAGCCGCGGUAAUACGAAGGGUGCAAGCGUUACUCGGAAUUACUGGGCGUAAAGCG